CAGGUGUCCAAGGUGGGCAGCAGGACAAGGGCCAUUGAACCGAUUCAAAGUGGGACAAAAAGAGAGAGGGUAAACUAGAAGUGUCACCAAGCAGCAUAAAGCCUCAAGCCAAACAUCGGCCUGGAAAAUAUAACCACCUGGCGUCCGCACGGGUCUGUCCAGGCUGAUAGCGACCGCUGUGGGCAGACAAACAAGUCGGCCUGCUGCCGUCCCGCCACUCGUGACGCCGGUAAUAAAGCGAGCAGCGGGUCGGUCAGACACCAAUCAAUGCGGACCGGGCCUCGCGCAGCACGGCCUCCGAUAUCAGAGCCGGUCCCCGCGCCGCCCGCAGAGCGACCAUCUGCUCUGCAUUUCACGUCAAAGCUCCUCCACCGUGGAUCCGCCUAUCCUCGGCGCGGCGGGGGUCGCGGGGCCAGGGGGACUGAGUCCUGAGGAUCCGGCCCCCGCUUGCCGUCGCCAUCCGGCGUCUGUUGCAGACUCAAACCGUAAAGUGCUUCUCCUUCAGCCAGGUGGCGAGCGCGACGGACACCGCAGGUUGAAGACCGGCGCAAGAAGCAGACUGCGCGUCGAGCAAGCAAGUCUGCGAUGUGUUUGGACCCGGUCCGCAGACCCCCGCGCAGGCAUGCGACCGGCAUUCCCCCCCCCCCCUUCCCCCACCCAUGGCAUUGC